GGGUUGUGAGGUUAAGCGACUAAGCGUACACGGUGGAUGCCCUGGCAGUCAGAGGCGAUGAAGGGCGUGCUAAUCUGCGAUAAGCGCCGGUAAGGUGAUAUGAACCGUUAUAACCGGCGAUACCCGAAUGGGGAAACCCAGUGUGACUCGUCACACUAUCAUUAACUGAAUCCAUAGGUUAAUGAGGCGAACCGGGGGAACUGAAACAUCUAAGUACCCGAGGAAAAGAAAUCAACCGAGAUUCCCCCAGUAGCGGCGAGCGAACGGGGAGGAGCCCAGAGCCUGAAUCAGCAUGUGUGUUAGUGGAAGCGUCUGGAAAGGCGCGCGAUACAGGGUGACAGCCCCGUACACAAAAGCGCAUGUGCUGUGAGCUCGAUGAGUAGGGCGGGACACGUGGUAUCCUGUCUGAAUAUGGGGGGACCAUCCUCCAAGGCUAAAUACUCCUGACUGACCGAUAGUGAACCAGUACCGUGAGGGAAAGGCGAAAAGAACCCCGGCGAGGGGAGUGAAAAAGAACCUGAAACCGUGUACGUACAAGCAGUGGGAGCACAGGUUUACCUGUGUGACUGCGUACCUUUUGUAUAAUGGGUCAGCGACUUAUAUUCUGUAGCAAGGUUAACCGAAUAGGGGAGCCGCAGGGAAACCGAGUCUUAACCGGGCGUUAAGUUGCAGGGUAUAGACCCGAAACCCGGUGAUCUAGCCAUGGGCAGGUUGAAGGUUGGGUAACACUAACUGGAGGACCGAACCGACUAAUGUUGAAAAAUUAGCGGAUGACCUGUGGCUGGGGGUGAAAGGCCAAUCAAACCGGGAGAUAGCUGGUUCUCCCCGAAAGCUAUUUAGGUAGCGCCUCGUGAAUUCAUCUCCGGGGGUAGAGCACUGUUUCGGCUAGGGGGCCAUCCCGGCUUACCAACCCGAUGCAAACUGCGAAUACCGGAGAAUGUUAUCACGGGAGACACACGGCGGGUGCUAACGUCCGUCGUGAAGAGGGAAACAACCCAGACCGCCAGCUAAGGUCCCAAAGUCAUGGUUAAGUGGGAAACGAUGUGGGAAGGCCCAGACAGCCAGGAUGUUGGCUUAGAAGCAGCCAUCAUUUAAAGAAAGCGUAAUAGCUCACUGGUCGAGUCGGCCUGCGCGGAAGAUGUAACGGGGCUAAACCAUGCACCGAAGCUGCGGCAGCGACACUGUGUGUUGUUGGGUAGGGGAGCGUUCUGUAAGCCUGUGAAGGUGUGUCGUGAGGCAUGCUGGAGGUAUCAGAAGUGCGAAUGCUGACAUAAGUAACGAUAAAGCGGGUGAAAAGCCCGCUCGCCGGAAGACCAAGGGUUCCUGUCCAACGUUAAUCGGGGCAGGGUGAGUCGACCCCUAAGGCGAGGCCGAAAGGCGUAGUCGAUGGGAAACGGGUUAAUAUUCCCGUACUUGGUGUUACUGCGAAGGGGGGACGGAGAAGGCUAUGUUGGCCGGGCGACGGUUGUCCCGGUUUAAGCGUGUAGGUGUGUGUUCCAGGUAAAUCCGGUUCACUUUAACACUGAGGCGUGACGACGAGGCACUACGGUGCUGAAGCAACAAAUGCCCUGCUUCCAGGAAAAGCCUCUAAGCAUCAGGUAACAUCAAAUCGUACCCCAAACCGACACAGGUGGUCAGGUAGAGAAUACCAAGGCGCUUGAGAGAACUCGGGUGAAGGAACUAGGCAAAAUGGUGCCGUAACUUCGGGAGAAGGCACGCUGACAUGUAGGUGAAGUGAUUUACUCAUGGAGCUGAAGUCAGUCGAAGAUACCAGCUGGCUGCAACUGUUUAUUAAAAACACAGCACUGUGCAAACACGAAAGUGGACGUAUACGGUGUGACGCCUGCCCGGUGCCGGAAGGUUAAUUGAUGGGGUCAGCGCAAGCGAAGCUCCUGAUCGAAGCCCCGGUAAACGGCGGCCGUAACUAUAACGGUCCUAAGGUAGCGAAAUUCCUUGUCGGGUAAGUUCCGACCUGCACGAAUGGCGUAAUGAUGGCCAGGCUGUCUCCACCCGAGACUCAGUGAAAUUGAACUCGCUGUGAAGAUGCAGUGUACCCGCGGCAAGACGGAAAGACCCCGUGAACCUUUACUAUAGCUUGACACUGAACAUUGAGCCUUGAUGUGUAGGAUAGGUGGGAGGCUUUGAAGUGUGGACGCCAGUCUGCAUGGAGCCGACCUUGAAAUACCACCCUUUAAUGUUUGAUGUUCUAACGUGGACCCGUUACCCGGGUUGCGGACAGUGUCUGGUGGGUAGUUUGACUGGGGCGGUCUCCUCCUAAAGAGUAACGGAGGAGCACGAAGGUUGGCUAAUCCUGGUCGGACAUCAGGAGGUUAGUGCAAUGGCAUAAGCCAGCUUGACUGCGAGCGUGACGGCGCGAGCAGGUGCGAAAGCAGGUCAUAGUGAUCCGGUGGUUCUGAAUGGAAGGGCCAUCGCUCAACGGAUAAAAGGUACUCCGGGGAUAACAGGCUGAUACCGCCCAAGAGUUCAUAUCGACGGCGGUGUUUGGCACCUCGAUGUCGGCUCAUCACAUCCUGGGGCUGAAGUAGGUCCCAAGGGUAUGGCUGUUCGCCAUUUAAAGUGGUACGCGAGCUGGGUUUAGAACGUCGUGAGACAGUUCGGUCCCUAUCUGCCGUGGGCGCUGGAGAACUGAGGGGGGCUGCUCCUAGUACGAGAGGACCGGAGUGGACGCAUCACUGGUGUUCGGGUUGUCAUGCCAAUGGCACUGCCCGGUAGCUAAAUGCGGAAGAGAUAAGUGCUGAAAGCAUCUAAGCACGAAACUUGCCCCGAGAUGAGUUCUCCCUGAGACUUAGAGUCUCCUGAAGGAACGUUGAAGACGACGACGUUGAUAGGCCGGGUGUGUAAGCGCAGCGAUGCGUUGAGCUAACCGGUACUAAUGAACCGUGAGGCUUAACCUUACAACGCCGAAG
rnacentral:rRNA from 1 species